rnacentral:rRNA from 1 species
UACAGAGGGUGCAAGCGUUAAUCGGAAUUACUGGGCGUAAAGCGUGCGCAGACGGUUGCGUAAGUCAGAUGUGAAAGCCCCGGGCUCAACCUGGGAAUUGCAUUUGAGACUGCGUAGCUAGGGUGCGGAAGAGGGAAGCGGAAUUUCCGGUGUAGCGGUGAAAUGCGUAGAUAUCGGAAGGAACACCAGGGGCGAAAGCGGGUUCCUGGUCCAGCACCGACGUUCAGGCACGAAAGCGUGGGGAGCAAACAGG